UACGUAGGGGGCGAGCGUUGUCCGGAGUUACUGGGCGUAAAGCGCACGCAGGCGGUCUGCUAAGUUUGGAGUGACAGUUGGUGGCUUAACUGCCAAAGUGCUUCGAAAACUGACAGACUUGAGGGCUUCAGAGGGACACGGAAUCCGGGUGGAGUGGUGAAUGCGUAGAGAUCCGGAGGAACACCAAAGGCGAAGGCAGUGUCCUGGGGAGU
rnacentral:rRNA from 1 species